rnacentral:rRNA from 1 species
GAUUAAGUUAUUAAGGGCGCACGGUGGAUGCCUUGGCACUAGAAGCCGAUGAAGGACGUUACUAACGACGAUAUGCUUUGGGGAGCUGUAAGUAAGCUUUGAUCCAGAGAUUUCCGAAUGGGGAAACCCAGCAUGAGUUAUGUCAUGUUAUCGAUAUGUGAAUACAUAGCAUAUCAGAAGGCACACCCGGAGAACUGAAACAUCUUAGUACCCGGAGGAAGAGAAAGAAAAUUCGAUUCCCUUAGUAGCGGCGAGCGAAACGGGAAGAGCCCAAACCAACAAGCUUGCUUGUUGGGGUUGUAGGACACUCUAUACGGAGUUACAAAGGACGACAUUAGACGAAUCAUCUGGAAAGAUGAAUCAAAGAAGGUAAUAAUCCUGUAGUCGAAAAUGUUGUCUCUCUUGAGUGGAUCCUGAGUACGACGGAGCACGUGAAAUUCCGUCGGAAUCUGGGAGGACCAUCUCCUAAGGCUAAAUACUCUCUAGUGACCGAUAGUGAACCAGUACCGUGAGGGAAAGGUGAAAAGCACCCCGGAAGGGGAGUGAAAUAGAACCUGAAACCGUGUGCUUACAAGUAGUCAGAGCCCGUUAAUGGGUGAUGGCGUGCCUUUUGUAGAAUGAACCGGCGAGUUACGAUUUGAUGCAAGGUUAAGCAGUAAAUGUGGAGCCGUAGCGAAAGCGAGUCUGAAUAGGGCGUUUAGUAUUUGGUCGUAGACCCGAAACCAGGUGAUCUACCCUUGGUCAGGUUGAAGUUCAGGUAACACUGAAUGGAGGACCGAACCGACUUACGUUGAAAAGUGAGCGGAUGAACUGAGGGUAGCGGAGAAAUUCCAAUCGAACCUGGAGAUAGCUGGUUCUCUCCGAAAUAGCUUUAGGGCUAGCCUCAAGUGAUGAUUAUUGGAGGUAGAGCACUGUUUGGACGAGGGGCCCCUCUCGGGUUACCGAAUUCAGACAAACUCCGAAUGCCAAUUAAUUUAACUUGGGAGUCAGAACAUGGGUGAUAAGGUCCGUGUUCGAAAGGGAAACAGCCCAGACCACCAGCUAAGGUCCCAAAAUAUAUGUUAAGUGGAAAAGGAUGUGGCGUUGCCCAGACAACUAGGAUGUUGGCUUAGAAGCAGCCAUCAUUUAAAGAGUGCGUAAUAGCUCACUAGUCGAGUGACACUGCGCCGAAAAUGUACCGGGGCUAAACAUAUUACCGAAGCUGUGGAUUGUCCUUUGGACAAUGGUAGGAGAGCGUUCUAAGGGCGUUGAAGCAUGAUCGUAAGGACAUGUGGAGCGCUUAGAAGUGAGAAUGCCGGUGUGAGUAGCGAAAGACGGGUGAGAAUCCCGUCCACCGAUUGACUAAGGUUUCCAGAGGAAGGCUCGUCCGCUCUGGGUUAGUCGGGUCCUAAGCUGAGGCCGACAGGCGUAGGCGAUGGAUAACAGGUUGAUAUUCCUGUACCACCUAUAAUCGUUUUAAUCGAUGGGGGGACGCAGUAGGAUAGGCGAAGCGUGCGAUUGGAUUGCACGUCUAAGCAGUAAGGCUGAGUAUUAGGCAAAUCCGGUACUCGUUAAGGCUGAGCUGUGAUGGGGAGAAGACAUUGAGNNNNNNNNNNNNNNNNNNNNNNNNNNNNNNNNNNNNNNNNNNNNNNNNNNNNNNNNNNNNNNNNNNNNNNNNNNNNNNNNNNNNNNNNNNNNNNNNGAGUCUUCGAGUCGUUGAUUUCACACUGCCGAGAAAAGCCUCUAGAUAGAAAAUAGGUGCCCGUACCGCAAACCGACACAGGUAGUCAAGAUGAGAAUUCUAAGGUGAGCGAGCGAACUCUCGUUAAGGAACUCGGCAAAAUGACCCCGUAACUUCGGGAGAAGGGGUGCUCUUUAGGGUUAACGCCCAGAAGAGCCGCAGUGAAUAGGCCCAAGCGACUGUUUAUCAAAAACACAGGUCUCUGCUAAACCGUAAGGUGAUGUAUAGGGGCUGACGCCUGCCCGGUGCUGGAAGGUUAAGAGGAGUGGUUAGCUUCUGCGAAGCUACGAAUCGAAGCCCCAGUAAACGGCGGCCGUAACUAUAACGGUCCUAAGGUAGCGAAAUUCCUUGUCGGGUAAGUUCCGACCCGCACGAAAGGCGUAACGAUUUGGGCACUGUCUCAACGAGAGACUCGGUGAAAUCAUAGUACCUGUGAAGAUGCAGGUUACCCGCGACAGGACGGAAAGACCCCGUGGAGCUUUACUGUAGCCUGAUAUUGAAAUUCGGCACAGCUUGUACAGGAUAGGUAGGAGCCUUUGAAACGUGAGCGCUAGCUUACGUGGAGGCGCUGGUGGGAUACUACCCUAGCUGUGUUGGCUUUCUAACCCGCACCACUUAUCGUGGUGGGAGACAGUGUCAGGCGGGCAGUUUGACUGGGGCGGUCGCCUCCUAAAAGGUAACGGAGGCGCUCAAAGGUUCCCUCAGAAUGGUUGGAAAUCAUUCAUAGAGUGUAAAGGCAUAAGGGAGCUUGACUGCGAGACCUACAAGUCGAGCAGGGUCGAAAGACGGACUUAGUGAUCCGGUGGUUCCGCAUGGAAGGGCCAUCGCUCAACGGAUAAAAGCUACCCCGGGGAUAACAGGCUUAUCUCCCCCAAGAGUUCACAUCGACGGGGAGGUUUGGCACCUCGAUGUCGGCUCAUCGCAUCCUGGGGCUGUAGUCGGUCCCAAGGGUUGGGCUGUUCGCCCAUUAAAGCGGUACGCGAGCUGGGUUCAGAACGUCGUGAGACAGUUCGGUCCCUAUCCGUCGUGGGCGUAGGAAAUUUGAGAGGAGCUGUCCUUAGUACGAGAGGACCGGGAUGGACAUACCUCUGGUGUACCAGUUGUCGUGCCAACGGCAUAGCUGGGUAGCUAUGUGUGGACGGGAUAAGUGCUGAAAGCAUCUAAGCAUGAAGCCCCCCUCAAGAUGAGAUUUCCCAACUUCGGUUAUAAGAUCCCUCAAAGAUGAUGAGGUUAAUAGGUUCGAGGUGGAAGCAUGGUGACAUGUGGAGCUGACGAAUACUAAUCGAUCGAAGACUUAAUCAA